GACGAACGCUGGCGGCGUGCUUAACACAUGCAAGUCGAACGGAAAGGCCUCUUUCGGGGGGUACUCGAGUGGCGAACGGGUGAGUAACACGUGAGUAACCUGCCCUUGACUUUGGGAUAACUUCAGGAAACUGGGGCUAAUACCGGAUAGGAGCUCCUGCUGCAUGGUGGGGGUUGGAAAGUUUCUGCGGUUGGGGUUGGACUCGCCGCUUAUCAGCUUGGUGGUGGGGUAGUGGCUUACCAAGGCUUUGACGGGUAGCCGGCCUGAGAGGGUGACCGGCCACAUUGGGACUGAGAUACGGCCCAGACUCCUACGGGAGGCAGCAGUGGGGAAUAGUGCACAAUGGGUGGAAGCCUGAUGCAGCAACGCCGGGUGCGGGAUGACGGCCUUCGGGUUGUAAACCGCUUUCGCUCAUGACGAAGCUUUGUGUGACGGUAGUGGGUAAAGAAGCACCGGCUAACUACGUG
rnacentral:rRNA from 1 species